CUGCUGACGACCGGCGCACGGGUGCGUAACGCGUAUAGAACCUACCUUUAACUGAGGGAUAGCCCAGAGAAAUUUGGAUUAAUACCUCAUAGUAUUAUUGAUUGGCAUCGAUUAAUGAUUAAAGAUUUAUUGGUUAGAGAUGGCUAUGCGUCUUAUUAGCUAGUUGGUUAGGUAACGGCUAACCAAGGCAACGAUAAGUAGGGGUCCUGAGAGGGAGAUCCCCCACACUGGUACUGAGACACGGACCAGACUCCUACGGGAGGCAGCAGUGAGGAAUAUUGGACAAUGGAGGCAACUCUGAUCCAGCCAUGCCGCGUGUAGGAAGACUGCCCUAUGGGUUGUAAACUACUUUUAUAGAGGAAGAAACCCCAGUAUGUAUACUGGUCUGACGGUACUCUACGAAUAAGGAUCGGCUAACUCCGUGCCAGCAGCCGCGGUAAUACGGAGGAUCCAAGCGUUAUCCGGAAUCAUUGGGUUUAAAGGGUCCGUAGGCGGGUUUAUAAGUCAGUGGUGAAAGUCCGCGGCUCAACCGUAAAAUUGCCAUUGAUACUGUAGAUCUUGAAUUAUUGUGAAGUGGUUAGAAUGUGUAGUGUAGCGGUGAAAUGCAUAGAUAUUACACAGAAUACCGAUUGCGAAGGCAGAUCACUAACAAUUAAUUGACGCUAAGGGACGAAAGCGUGGGUAGCGAACAGGAUUAGAUACCCUGGUAGUCCACGCUGUAAACGAUGGUUACUAGCUGUUUGAUUUUCGGAUUGAGUGGCUAAGCGAAAGUGAUGAGUAACCCACCUGGGGAGUACGUUCGCAAGAAUGAAACUCAAAGGAAUUGACGGGGGCCCGCACAAGCGGUGGAGCAUGUGGUUUAAUUCGAUGAUACGCGAGGAACCUUACCAGGGCUUAAAUGUAGUCUGACAG
rnacentral:rRNA from 1 species